AUAGUAAUAAAAUUCUGCAGAUUGGUCUAUCUUCCAAUUUGGUCUUUCUAGAUACUUGCAAGAUAUGUCGUGCGCGCACGUGUACAGAUGUGUGUGGUUAUUAUUCGAGCUGGUAAUGAUAUCACGUACUUUUUGUGAAUUAAUAGGUUAAUAGGUACAUCCGAGUUUUGUCUGUGACUGCGUGUCGCGAGAAAUCAUCGCGACGAACAACGUUGCCGUGAAGCAGGAGUUCAUUGCGUUUGCUCAUCACCGUUAUCAAAGUUAUUAACCUAAUUGCAACUGAAAGAGUGUGUUGGAAUGUCUUCGGACAAUGAAAAAAUAAGAGGAAUAGCGAGUGGAUGUGGUAUCCAUGUGUUACGAGAACACGUGGGUGGUGAUUGCAUCAAGGACGUACCGGCAGUAGGUUUGCACCGACAUUGAUAGGUUCAAAAAAAGAAGAUGAAAGGUUGCCAAAACGCCGAUUGACGAAGGCUGGUAUUAUAAGCAAUUAAUUUGAUAAUAGGCUCGAACUGUUUUCUAUAUACAUAUAGAACAGGACUUGUAAGUCCAUUAUCUAAGUUAGUAGUAUUAUUAUAAUAACAUUUAACAAAUGUUAAAAAGUCAGUCCACUUAAUUAAAAUUAAUAACAUGUUUUUAAGACAAUGUUUUACUAGAAAUUUUUUCAUAACAAGAAAAGUAAUUAGAAUAUCUUAUCUUCACAUUCCUAAAAAUACUGCACUUUCUAAUCCGUUAAAGACCAACUUUUUUCGAAAAUAGAUAAAACUAACAACAAAGAGAUGAAGAUAAUAGAGAAAAUCAGAUUCUUGACACAAUCAAUUACAGCUUCGUCACAGAUUAGAAAUUAGAAAAAGGAAGAUACUUGUGAAAACUGAUUUUUAUGAAUGAAAAUCAGUGCGCGACAUGCUUUGACCUCGGAUUAUUAUCCGGAAAACACUCACUCGCGAUUUGUAGACCCAACAUCAGCAUGAAUCCAAUAAUUAUGGCAGUCAACUGUAAGAGGCCACUUUUCUCGUUAGCCCUCUCGCGUGCUAAUACCUCGAAGAAAACCACGUAUAGCAACGUUCCGGCGGCCAUUCCUUGCAGUAUUGUCGGGGUAUCCAAGAGUAGUUCUACUUGAGGCACCAGCAACGUAAAGUUCCAUACCGACGCAGAAUGAAAUUACCAACUUAUGCGUAGCUAUAGCAGCAGCCAGAUAUACGACGGAACCAAUAGAGGGUUCUAGACCUACUGCUAGACCCUCGAAAAUUGCAUGAAAAGACAAAGCUAGCACUAAGGAUAUCUCGUGCCAUCCUGAGGACUGCGCUGCGUGGAAGAUAAUCCCGUAGGGGUAGAUAGGACAAAUAUGGCAGGUGGACCUAGCCGUAGUGGAAACCGUGGUGGUGGAACCACUAUUCGUAGUUGUUGACGCACCUGUUUGAUUGUUGCAUCUACGUACGGACACCGUUCUAUAGAGUAGCGCCUCUGAUGACUCGGGUUUUCCCGUCAGUG